rnacentral:rRNA from 1 species
UAGGGAAUCUUCGGCAAUGGACGAAAGUCUGACCGAGCAACGCCGCGUGAGUGAAGAAGGUUUUCGGAUCGUAAAACUCUGUUGUUAGAGAAGAACAAGGACGUUAGUAACUGAACGUCCCCUGACGGUAUCUAACCAGAAAGCCACGGCUAACUACGUGCCAGCAGCCGCGGUAAUACGUAGUUGGCAAGCGUUGUCCGGAUUUAUUGGGCGUAAAGCGAGCGCAGGCGGUUUCUUAAGUCUGAUGUGAAAGCCCCCGGCUCAACCGGGGAGGGUCAUUGGAAACUGGGAGACUUGAGUGCAGAAGAGGAGAGUGGAAUUCCAUGUGGAGCGGUGAAAUGCGUAGAUAUAUGGAGGAACACCAGUGGCGAAGGCGGCUCUCUGGUCUGUAACUGACGCUGAGGCUCGAAAGCGUGGGGAGCAAACAGG